AACGAACGCUGGCGGCGCGCCUAAUACAUGCAAGUCGAGCGAGAAGGUGUAGCAAUACACUUGUAAAGCGGCGAACGGGUGAGGAAUGCAUGGGUAACCUACCCUCGAGUGGGGAAUAACUAGCCGAAAGGUUAGCUAAUACCGCAUACGUUUCCGGAACUUCGGUUUCGGAAAGAAAGCAAUACCGUGGGUAUUGCGCUCCUGGAUGGGCUCAUGUCCUAUCAGCUUGUUGGUGAGGUAACGGCUCACCAAGGCUUCGACGGGUAGCUGGUCUGAGAGGACGAUCAGCCACACUGGCACUGCGACACGGGCCAGACUCCUACGGAGGCAGCAGUAAGGAAUAUUGCGCAAUGGACGAAAGUCUGACGCAGCGACGCCGCGUGGGGGAUGAAGGUCUUCGGAUUGUAAACCCCUUUCGGGAGGGAAGAUGGAGUGGGUAACCACUUGGACGGUACCUCCAGAAGCAGCCACGGCUAACUUCGUGCCAGCA
rnacentral:rRNA from 1 species